GAAAAACAAACACGCAAUUUAAGGACUUUAUUACCACACAUCAACCAAAAUUGGAUCUUUAAGCUUGCAGAAUUUUAAAGGAAAGUAAGAACCCAGGAAAUGUGGAUGAAAGCACUUUACAAUUGAAGUUAAAAGAAGUUCGAUUAAGAAGCACUUUUUUUCUCAAAAAUUGCACAAUGAGGGCAAAUGGAGGCAAAGAAAAGGACAUA
rnacentral:misc_RNA from 1 species